CCUACGGGUGGCAGCAGUGAGGAAUAUUGGUCAAUGGGCGGGAGCCUGAACCAGCCAAGUCGCGUGAGGGAUGACGGCCCUAUGGGUUGUAAACCUCUUUUGCCGGGGAGCAAAGUGCCGCACGUGUGCGGUUUGGAGAGUACCCGGAGAAAAAGCAUCGGCUAACUCCGUGCCAGCAGCCGCGGUAAUACGGAGGAUGCGAGCGUUAUCCGGAUUUAUUGGGUGUAAAGGGCGUGUAGGCGGGAUGGCAAGUCAGGCGUGAAAACUAUGGGCUCAACCCAUAGCCUGCGUUUGAAACUGUCGUUCUUGAGUGAUGGAGAGGCAAGCGGAAUUCCGUGUGUAGCGGUGAAAUGCGUAGAUAUACGGAGGAACACCAGUGGCGAAGGCGGCUUGCUGGACAUUAACUGACGCUGAGGCGCGAAAGCGUGGGGAGCAAACAGGAUUAGAUACCCGUGUAGUC
rnacentral:rRNA from 1 species